rfam:Triticum aestivum genome assembly, contig: Triticum_aestivum_CS42_TGACv1_scaffold_458294_5DS
GAUGUACUCCCUCCGUUCGGAAUUACUCGUCCAAUAAAUGAAUGUAUCUAGAUGUAUUUUAAUUGUAGAUACAUUCAUUUUUAUCCAUUUUUGUGAUAAAUAAUUCCGAACGGAGGGAGUACCUC